rnacentral:tRNA from 1 species
GGCCUUUUAACUCAACGGUAGAGUAAUGCCAUGGUAAGGCGUAAGUCAUCGGUUUGAGUCCGAUAAAGGGCU